rnacentral:rRNA from 1 species
AUGUACCACAAGGUGCACUCGUUCGGUCCAAGAUCUCGCCCUGGACAUUUGCAGUUGUACUUCUACGACGACGAUCCCAGCUUAAACCAUCGCAAGGAGGCCACCAAGCAAUUGGACCAGCACGUUGUCAGCAAGUUAGUGGACGUCCUCAGGGAAAACCCCUACUCCCAGCAGUUUAGGAGUUUGGGUGCCCAUAAGGAAAAUCUCGAGGAGUACCGGAUAGACCUCAACAUUGACCAGAAGCUAGACCAACGAAGAUAUAACAGACCCGUGUCAUCCGAGGUGGCUGCGAUUUGGGUCGAGGGAAGCGAUCUAGCAAACAGGUUCAACCGCAGCAUUACACUCUAUGGGGACAACAACGAGAAGUAUAGUAUACAUGCCACAGAUGGCUGUUAUGACCCGCUUUCGUAUCCCCUCUUUUUCCCAAGGGGGGAGCUUGGUUGGCAUCCAAAUAUCCCUAAGCACAAUGUC